rnacentral:misc_RNA from 1 species
AAAGUGCGAUAAGUAAUGUGAAUUGCAGACCUUGUGAAUCAUCGAGUCUUUGAACGCAAGUUGCGCUAUCCUGUUGAGGGAUAGCAUGUUUGUAUGAGGGUUGUUAACCAACAACAGAUGGAAUGAGGCUUUUUCUGAAGCAAUGACGGGAAUGCCUUGAAAUCCAAACCCCAUGUAAAAUGCAUUUGAUUCUCAGCCUUUGUGUUGGGAAGGAAAGCUGAAAGCUAAAACAAAAAAACUUACUUUUAUGGUCUCUCUCGUCAAGAGGGAAAUCAUAUUUGGGGAUUGUAAUCAACCCUCCUCAGUGGGGUGGAUGAUUGCUUUUUUUACUAGUUUUUUCUUGUUUUUAGCAAGUUAUUCAGACUUUCCAAUUCUAUUUAAAUGCAACCUCAUAUCAAGC